rnacentral:lncRNA from 1 species
GAAAAAGCUUCACUGGAACCUAAAGCAGUCACUUGAGUUCAUCUCCCCUGGAGAAGGCUGUAAAGCCAGCACGGCGUACCCAGAGAUACGGAAAACGGUGAGUGUCGCUCUGCGUAAUCUGUUUUCUUUCAUUUGAUGAAGGUCAUGACUUUGAUAUUUUCCACCAGACUGGCCCGAUUUGGGUGCCAGGCUGUUUGUUUGUUUACAGAUGGAGAAAUGUUUCCGACAUCUGUCUGCAGCGUUCUCCCAGCAGCUACCUCAUGUUUCUUGCAACUUCCCAGCCUUGCCCACGGCCUGUUCUUGGAAGAUGUUCAGAAGGCAACUUCCUGAAGAUGGGCCCUCCAAAUCACCUGGCAGCUGCUGAUUUUAUCAAUGCCUCAGCAUUUCCCGAUCAUCAGGUCUUUAAAACAUAAACAAAAUAGUCCAGCUUUAAUAUUUGCAGCCCUAGCACUAGUUCAAUAUGUGAUGUGAUUUGUGUGCAUAUGUAAAUAUUGUCUUUGC